ensembl:lncRNA
AUGAUAUUUAAUAUUUAUAUUUUUUGUAUGUGUGUACACUUCAGAAUGACAAAGCCAAAAUUCAGGCCUUGCCCAAGCUGCCAAGUCCGUCAGCAGGCCAACCGCAAAACAUGCAGUGCUUGUUUUGCCACACUGCCAAGCAAGCGGUUAUUAAAAACUGCAAAAAUUAAUGAUGACUGGGGCCAGAGGGUCGUCAAAAACAAAAAUGCAUCUCGGGUGGUGGCCUCUGCCCAAAUAGCUGUCCAAAAACUUUCUGCCUUGGGCUAUAUGCCCAUAUUAUUUAUCAGCCAGAGGCACAAGGGCACAGGCAAGUUGAUGGCAGAUGUAGUCACGCAUCUGCCACCGACGCAAAACAACACACGUUUCUUAACCAGCAUGAAGAGGGCAUAUGACUUCAUAAUCAAACUGGAUGGUAAGAUAAGUUUUAUGUAUAGUUCAUUAGUGGUUGUCGUUGAUUUCUUUGACAAUGUGUACUGAAUUUAUAUUUUUGCUAACUUCACAACAGAUGUGCCCCAGCCCCAGCCCCAGCAAGACCAGCCCCUCCACCUAGACCAACCCCCUACCCCAAGACCAGCCCCUGCCCCUAGACCAGCUAAUCCCACAAAACCAGCCCGUAGACCAGCCCCAGCAAGACCAGCCCCUGCCCCUAGACCAGCUAAUCCCACAAGACCAGCCCCAGCAAGACCAGCCCCUGCCCCUAGACCAGCUAAUCCCACAAGACCAGCCUACCCCAACAGACCAGCAAAUUAUUAAACUUGAACUAUUUACGAUCGACUCACAGGCUCAGCAGCAUGUGGAGCCUCUACCACCCAGGAAAAGACAAAGUAAGUAAUCUUGCAUUGCACCACAUCUGUAAAUUUGUCCUAUGUUUUUUUGCAAUCAGUGCACAAUAUAAAACAAGUUACACAUGGUGAAUUUCACCUCUUUUAAUUAAUUAAGCCACUCCUCCAAGAUACUGAAUAUACAAUUCUCAACCUUUUUCCCUUGCAUCUUAAGCCCCACUAUCCACCCCGGGCCUACCAUCCACCCCAGGCCAAGGCAAACGAGCCCCACCAUCCAUCCAACCUCAACUAAAGAAAAGACAAAGUAAGUAAUCUUGCCUUGCACCCCAUCUGUAAAUUGGUCCCAUGGUUUUGUAAUCAUUGUAUUAAUAUAAAAUAAGUUAACCAAUGUGAAUUUCACCCCCUUCUAUUAAUUAAGCCACUUCCCCAAGAUACUGAAUAUAUAAUUCUUAAUCUUUUCCCCUUGCACCCUAAGCCACAGGUAAAGGAGCCACACAAGCCCCACCCUCUACCCUGGCCAAAAAGAAGAAAACAAAAAGCAAGUAGACAUUCUUUGCACCCCAUGUGUAUAUUUGUUUCUAUUCUUUGCACCCCAUGUGUAUAUCAGCAGCCAUGUGUUGGGUGUAAAUGUGUUUUUGCAUGUAGCCCCCUUUAAUUGGACCAAACUCAGGGUGUAUUCACACUUGGUCUUUUUCAGCCCUCAAAGUGAACUAAGAACAGUGACUCAUAUAUGAACACCUCAAGCAAACUCAGACCCAUUUGAAAUGAACCAAACGUUUUUUUGCCUUUGUCAUUUAAGGUUGCAAAUGCAGUCGACAGACAAUUUAUCCAUACGAUAAAAUAUUGGAAAGACGGAUGAAUGGGGUAAGAUGUAGAACCAUAUUUUUCAUUAGGCUGUCUGAUUAUCUCUUGACUCAUGUCUGUCUCAUCUUUCAAUCCACAUGUGACAAAACAGUAACACUGAGCAGUAGGUAUCAAACUUUUUCAACUAUCAACCCUCUCACAAGUGCUACCCCUUAGGAAAAAAAAGUAUACUUCAAGUUAUUUUAUGAAGUAUACUUAAGUAAUGUUCAAGUAUAUUUUUAAGUAUACUUUAUGGAGUAAGUAUACUAGUAUCAAUGUGUACUAUUUCAAUACUGCUUGGGGCUAAAUUGGCCCACUUUUAGUAUAAAAGUAUAUGUUUAAGUGUACUAAAAGUGUAAACUUUAAGUACACAACUAGGUUUCUCAUUUUUAAUGCAUCUUUACUACAAGUGAACUUAUAAGUAUACUAUUUAUAUAUUAUUUUGCACUUGCUGUAUACUACUAUGUUCAAAUGUAGAUAUUAUUUUUUAUACUUGAAAAAUACAUUUAACUGUACUUUAAUUUUAAUAACAUUUUAUUAGCUUCAUGCUUUCUUUUUUAUCAACACUUGUCGGUAAGUUUCAUAAAGGCAACAUUUUAAACAAAGAAGUUGAGAAAAUCACAUUUUUGUCAAAGACUGCGCCUUGAUCAGAUUCAGAACGGUGAUCAAAACACAGAUGGAGUAGAUCAAGUCCAACAACCCCAAAGCUUCACAGUCGUUUU